rnacentral:rRNA from 1 species
UACAGAGGGGGCAAGCGUUGUUCGGAAUUACUGGGCGUAAAGGGCGCGUAGGCGGCCUUCUAAGUCGAACGUGAAAUCCCCAGGCUCAACCUGGGAACUGCGUCUGAUACUGGAUGGCUUGAAUUCGGGAGAGGGAUGCAGAAUUCCAGGUGUAGCGGUGAAAUGCGUAGAUAUCUGGAGGAAUACCGGUGGCGAAGGCGGCAUCCUGGACCGACAUUGACGCUGAGGAGCGAAAGCUAGGGGAGCAAACGGG